rnacentral:rRNA from 1 species
GAAACGACUGCUAAGACUGGAUAGGAGACAAGAGGGCAUCUUCUUGUUUUUAAAAGACCUAGCAAUAGGUAUGCUUAGGGAGGAGCUUGCGUCACAUUAGUUAGUUGGUGGGGUAAAGGCCUACCAAGACUAUGAUGUGUAGCCGGGCUGAGAGGUUGAACGGCCACAUUGGGACUGAGACACGGCCCAAACUCCUACGGGAGGCAGCAGUAGGGAAUUUUCGGCAAUGGAGGAAACUCUGACCGAGCAACGCCGCGUGAACGAUGAAGUAUUUCGGUACGUAAAGUUCUUUUAUUAGGGAAGAAUAAAUGAUGGAAAAAUCAUUCUGACGGUACCUAAUGAAUAAGCCCCGGCUAACUAUGUGCCAGCAGCCGCGGUAAUACAUAGGGGGCAAGCGUUAUCCGGAAUUAUUGGGCGUAAAGGGUGCGUAGGCGGUUAAAUAAGUUUAUGGUCUAAGUGCAAUGCUCAACAUUGUGAUGCUAUAAAAACUGUUUAGCUAGAGUAAGAUAGAGGCAAGUGGAAUUCCAUGUGUAGUGGUAAAAUGCGUAAAUAUAUGGAGGAACACCAGUAGCGAAGGCGGCUUGCUGGGUCUUUACUGACGCUGAGGCACGAAAGCGUGGGGAGCAAACAGGAUUAGAUACCCUGGCAGUCCACGCCGUAAACGAUGAGUACUAAACGUUGGGUAAAACCAGUGUUGAAGUUAACACAUUAAGUACUCCGCCUGAGUAGUACGUACGCAAGUAUGAAACUUAAAGGAAUUGACGGGACUCCGCACAAGCGGUGGAUCAUGUUGUUUAAUUCGAAGGUACCCGAAAAACCUCACCAGGUCUUGACAUGCUUCUGCAAAGCUGUAGAAACACAGUGGAGGUUAUCAGUUGCACAGGUGGUGCAUGGUUGUCGUCAGCUCGUGUCGUGAGAUGUUGGGUUAAGUCCCGCAACGAGCGCAACCCUUAUUGUUAGUUACCAGCACGUAAUGGUGGGGACUUUAGCAAGACUGCCAGUGAUAAAUUGGAGGAAGGUGGGGACGACGUCAAAUCAUCAUGCCCCUUAUGACCUGGGCUACAAACGUGAUACAAUGGCUGUUACAAAGGGUAGCUGAAGCGCAAGUUUUUGGCGAAUCUCAAAAAAACAGUCUCAGUUCGGAUUGAAGUCUGCAACUCGACUUCAUGAAGUUGGAAUCGCUAGUAAUCGCGAAUCAGCAUGUCGCGGUGAAUACGUUCUCGGGGUUUGUACACACCGCCCGUCA